rnacentral:tRNA from 1 species
GGAGGUUAAAGUCCUCCCUAC